GACGAACGCUGGCGGCGUGCUUAACACAUGCAAGUCGAACGGAAAGGCCCUGCUUUUGUGGGGUUCUCGAUUGGCGAACGGGUGAGUAACACGUGAGUAACCUGCCCUUGACUUUGGGAUAACUUCAGGAAACUGGGGCUAAUACCGGGUAGGAGCUCCUGCUGCAUGGUGGUGGUUGGAAAGUUUCGGCGGUUGGGGAUGGACUCGCGGCUUAUCAGCUUGUUGGUGGGGUAGUGGCUUACCAAGGCUUUGACGGGUAGCCGGACUGAGAGGGUGACCGGCCACACUGGGACUGAGAUACGGCACAGACUCCUACGGGAGGCAGCAGUGGGGAAUAUUGACGAAUGGGCGGAAGCCUGAUGCAGCAACGCCGCGUGCGGGAUGACGGCGUUCGGGUUGUAAACCGCUUUCGCCUGUGACGAAGCGUGAGUGACGGUAAUGGGUAAAGAAGCACAGGCUAACUACGUG
rnacentral:rRNA from 1 species